AACGCACAUUGCGCUCCCUGGUAUUCCGGGGAGCAUGCCUGUUCGAGCGUCAUUACAACCCUCACGCCCAGCGUGGUGUUGGGCUUGCCCUGUAGGGCCUGCCUCAAAAUCAGUGGCGGCACUAUCUGGUACCCUAAGCGUAGUAAUACUUGUCGCUUCUGGGCUCUAGGCAGCGGCCUGCCAGCAGCCCCCCCCCUAAAUUUUCUAGGUUGACCUCGGAUCAGGUAGGGAUACCCGCUGAACUUAA
rnacentral:misc_RNA from 2 species